rnacentral:lncRNA from 1 species
CCGCCCCGGAGGCGUUCCUAGACGGACGGUACAUUUACCUGAACUCAUCACCUUCCCACCCCCAUCCCAUCGACUCUGUGCUGUAUCCUGAACCGGCUGACAGAACAAUGAUGUAGACUUGACUUGUUUUCGCCAACCUGGAAUGAAGCAAAGCUCUUGUGCACCCAAGAUCUGCUCUCUGUUGUAAAUCCUGUUCAGACCUGGUCUAAUUGGUUUGAAUAAAUAAAGAACCGGAAUCUUUC